rnacentral:rRNA from 1 species
UGAGGAAUCUUGCGCAAUGGGGGAAACCCUGACGCAGCAACGCCGCGUGAGUGAGGAAGGCCUUCGGGUCGUAAAGCUCUGUCAGAUGGGAAGAAAUGGGUGGGGGCUAAUAUCGCCCAUCCUUGACGGUACCAUCAGAGGAAGCACCGGCUAACUCCGUGCCAGCAGCCGCGGUAAUACGGGGGGUGCGAGCGUUGUUCGGAAUCAUUGGGCGUAAAGCGCGCGCAGGCGGCUUGGUGAGUCAGAUGUGAAAGCCCUGGGCUUAAUCCAGGAAGUGCAUUUGAUACUGCCUCGCUAGAGUGCGGGAGAGGAAAGUGGAAUUCCUGGUGUAGAGGUGAAAUUCGUAGAUAUCAGGAGGAACACCGGUGGCGAAGGCGACUUUCUGGCCCGAUACUGACGCUCAGGCGCGAAAGCGUGGGGAGCAAACAG